rnacentral:rRNA from 1 species
UACGGAGGGUGCAAGCGUUAAUCGGAAUUACUGGGCGUAAAGCGUGCGCAGGCGGUUAUAUAAGACAGAUGUGAAAUCCCCGGGCUCAACCUGGGAACUGCAUUAGUGACUGUAUAGCUAGAGUGCGGCAGAGGGGGAUGGAAUUCCGCGUGUAGCAGUGAAAUGCGUAGAUAUGCGGAGGAACACCGAUGGCGAAGGCAAUCCCCUGGGCCUGCACUGACGCUCAUGCACGAAAGCGUGGGGAGCAAACAGG